UUUGCUCCACCUGCUCGCCGCCGUCACAACGCCAUCUCGGUCCCCUCUCUGUCUCAUCUCUCUUGCAUUCACACAAACAUAGUGCCGCCCCAAAUUUCUACUGGAAAAAAUCCCAAAAAUUUCUACAAAAAGCCCCAAAUUUCUCCUCUGAUUCCGUAGUUAACCGUCGAUUUGAGGUCGCUAGAACCCCACCACCGCCACACGCCGCCAUGGGCGCCGCAGAACCCGUGAGUCAACGCAGUCUUGAACCUUUUUCCUUCAAGCUCCAGUAAUCUCUCUCUCUAAUUUUUUUUGUGAUGUUUUUUUCCAGGUAGUGUUGCAGGGAGGGAACGCAAAAUUGGAGAGAGAGAAUGUGGAGUUGAAGGAUUUGGAAAUGGGGGAGGCCAAUGUUCAUAGGGAAUCAGUGCAGACACAUCCCCAAAUACGUUUCACAUGUCGAGAAGGCAGAGAUUGAGCGCCACAAACC
rnacentral:lncRNA from 1 species